GCAUAUCAAUAAGCGGAGGAAAAGAAACCAACAGGGAUUGCCCUAGUAACGGCGAGUGAAGCGGCAACAGCUCAAAUUUGAAAUCUGGCAACAGCCCGAGUUGUAAUUUGCAGAGGAAGCUUCUGGCGACGCACUGUCUAAGUCCCCUGGAACGGGGCGCCACAGCGGGUGAGAGCCCCAUGUGAUGGCUGCGGACCCAGUGUGAAGCUCCUUCGACGAGUCGAGUAGUUUGGGAAUGCUGCUCAAAAUGGGAGGUAAAUUCCUUCUAAAGCUAAAUAUUGGCCAGAGACCGAUAGCGCACAAGUAGAGUGAUCGAAAGAUGAAAAGCACUUUGAAAAGAGGGUUAAACAGCACGUGAAAUUGUUGAAAGGGAAGCGCUCAUGACCAGACUUGCGCUGGGCUGAUCAUCCGGUGUUCUCACCGGUGCACUCUGCCCGGCUCAGGCCAGCAUCGGUUUUGGCGGGGGGAUAAAGACGCCGGGAACGUAGCUCCCCCGGGAGUGUUAUAGCCCGGCGUGCAAUACCCCCGCUGGGACCGAGGUCCGCGCAUCGCAAGGAUG
rnacentral:rRNA from 1 species